rnacentral:rRNA from 1 species
UACGAAGGGGACUAGCGUUGCUCGGAAUCACUGGGCGUAAAGGGUGCGUAGGCGGGGCUUUAAGUCAGGGGUGAAAUCCUGGAGCUCAACUCCAGAACUGCCUUUGAUACUGAAGAUCUUGAGUUCGGGAGAGGUGAGUGGAACUGCGAGUGUAGAGGUGAAAUUCGUAGAUAUUCGCAAGAACACCAGUGGCGAAGGCGGCUCACUGGCCCGAUACUGACGCUGAGGCACGAAAGCGUGGGGAGCAAACAGG